rnacentral:misc_RNA from 1 species
GAUGAAGAACGUAGCGAAAUGCGAUAAGUAAUGUGAAUUGCAGAAUUCAGUGAAUCAUCGAAUCUUUGAACGCACCUUGCGCCCUUUGGCUAUUCCGAAGGGCAUGCCUGUUUGAGUAUCAUGAACACCUCAACUCCUCAUGGCUUGUCAUGAUGAGCUUGGACUUUGGGGGUCUUGCUGGCCUGUGGUCAGCUCCUCUCAAAUGAAUUAGCUUGCCAGUGUUUGGUGGCAUCACGGGUGUGAUAACUAUCUACGCUUGUGGUCCUCCACCAGGUAACCUUCCAGUGAUGGGGGUUCGCUGGGGCUUAUAAAUGUCCCUCCUCAGUGAGGACAGCUCUUUGAACGUUUGAUCUCAAAUCAGGUAGGACUACCCGCUGAACUUAAGCAUAUCAAUAAGCGGAGGA